GAAUAUUUGGUCACUUUAUGGUAUACCAUAUGUCUCAACAUACUGCUCAUAUGUUUUAAUUUUUUGUUCUGAGUGGGUUAUCUCAGAAGACAUGGCUUCAAGUUUUCUUGAUAUCUGACCUAUUUCAAGCUAUGCAGCUAUUCUCAUCUGAAGUCAUCAGUUGGGAUGGAAACCAGUCUCUCAGCAGUACUUAAACAGGUCAGAAAGUUGCCAGCAGUUCCAAUCUAUUAUUUUUAUCUCAAAGGAAAAAUCAGCAGUAGAGUGGCUUCCCUCCUUCGACUCAGUUUCAGGGAAGGGGUGAGAACACCCUGUGAAGAGGAAGGCAGAGAUUGGAAUGAUGCAGAAGAAGCCAACGAAUCUAGGAGAGAGGCAUGAAUUUCCCCUUCAUAGUCCUUGUAAGGAGCCAACCCUGCUGCACCUUUAUCUCAAAUGUCCAGCUUCCAGAACUGCAAGACAGUAAAUUUCUGCUGUUUAAGACAAAAAAAAAAAAAGUUAAGCUUUAUAUGCACAAAGCAAGACAUUACUUAUAUUAAAUGUUGUAUCUGUGAUCUUUACAACAUUUGUCAAAUAGUCUAUUAGCCAAUCAGUUGGUAGGCAGAAGUAUCUAAAUCACAUAAAAUAAUUGUGCCUAAAUAAUUCUGGUAACUUAUGUAUAAUCCGUUGAACAUCUUGACAAUCACUAAUUUAACUAAUGCAAGUUUGUCAAAUAGGGGAACUGGGGAUCCUGAUACUAAUAUAAUUUUAGAAGAUGAACAACAGUAAAGCAUUUAUGGACUGAGAGCUUAAUGUGUUUAUUUCUUUUAAAAUUUUACAAACUGCUGGGUGUGUUGGCUUAUGCCUCUAAUCUCAGCACUUUGGGAGACUGAGGCAGGUGAAUUGCUUGAGCCCAGGAGUUCACGACCAGCUUGGGCAACGUAGUGAGAACUAAUUUCUACUAAAAAUUAAACAAAAAAAUAGUCAAGUGUGGUGGUACACACCUGAAAUCCCAGUUAUUCUGGAGACUGUGGCAGUAAGAUCAUUUGAGCCCAAGAUACUGAGACUACUGUGAGCCAUGAUUGUGCCACUGCACUCCAGCUCAGGCAACAGACUGAGACCCUGUCUCAAAAAUAAAUAAAUACAAAUAAAAUAAAAUUUUACAAACUUUCUGAUUUAGCAGUCACUAAAAACCACAUGAAAAAUCUAUUAUAUAUACACCAUCUUUUAAAAUAAAUACAUUGUAAUUUUGAAAAAUUGUGUUAUUUCCCUGAAAUCAACGUUAGCAAACAAUGGGGCUAAUAUAAAUCCAGAUAUGUUCAACUUCAAAGCCUAUACUACAAUUACUCUUGUAAAAAUAGUUUUCCAGUUAUGCCUCAACUUGUUUUAACUAGUGGAAAAAAAAAGCUUUCCAGCCCAUUAUGAGAAAGAAAAUUUAACUUCUCUAUUACAUAACUUGAUUACAUAAAUUACUAUAACCUAAUAAGUGCAGUUAACUUGACAUCCUCACUUAACAUAUGGAAGAGCACAUUUAUGACACAUUUAUAGACAUCAGUAUGGCAUUGUAUAUCAGAAAUUAAAAUGUGGAUAAGAUUUUGUCCCCCAAAUUUUACUACAAUAAAUUUGUUUUAAGGAAAUAUUGAAGUAGCAAAGAUGUAUGUUUAAGAAUAUUAAUUAUUACAGUGCUAAAAAAUAAAAUAUAGAACAAAAACUGAAUACAAAAUGUGACUAGAAUGUCAAAUAGAUGUCUACAUUCCCAUAUUUAUUGAAACAUUUUUCAUUAUAGCCAAGAUUUGCAAGCAACCUAAGUGCCUCUCAACAAAUAAAGAGAUUGUUUAAAUGUUUUGUGUGUGUGUGUGUGUAUAAUGGAAUACUGUUCAAUCUUUAGAAAAAAUAAAAUUCUGCAAUUUGCAACAACAUGAAUAAAGCUAGAGGACAUUUAUACUGAAUGAAAUAAGUCAUGUACAGAUAAACAAAUAUUACAUGCUCUCACUUAUAUGUGCAAGCAAAAAUUUGAGCUUACACAAGUAAGGGGUAAAAUGGUUACUACCAAAAACUAGGGCAGGAGUGCAUGGAGAAAGGAAAAUGUUGGUUAAAAGGUACAAAAUUUCAAUUAGAUAAGAGAAAAAAGUUAUGGUGAUCUAAUGCAUACCAAGUAAUUACAAUUAAUAAUAAUGAAUUUUCUAUUUAUAAUUGCAAAAAGGGGGAUUUUAAAUGUUCUUAACAAAAAUAAAUGUGAGAAUUGACAGAUAUAUUAAUUAACCUAAUUUGUUCAAUCCACAAUGUAUACCUGUAUCUAUGCAUCACA
rnacentral:lncRNA from 1 species